CCCGCAACGAGUGCAACCCUUGCCAUUAGUUGCUACCAUUUAGUUGAGCACUCUAAUGGGACUGCCGGUGACAAACCGGAGGAAGGUGGGGAUGACGUCAAGUCCUCAUGGCCCUUAUGACCGGGGCUUCACACGUCAUACAAUGGUUGGUACAGAGGGUAGCCAAGCCGCGAGGUGGAGCCAAUCUCAUAAAACCGAUCGUAGUCCGGAUCGCACUCUGCAACUCGAGUGCGUGAAGUCGGAAUCGCUAGUAAUCGCAGAUCAUCAUGCUGCGGUGAAU
rnacentral:rRNA from 1 species